rnacentral:rRNA from 1 species
UACGUAGGGUCCGAGCGUUGUCCGGAAUUACUGGGCGUAAAGAGCUCGUAGGUGGUUUGUCGCGUUGUUCGUGAAAACUCACAGCUCAACUGUGGGCGUGCGGGCGAUACGGGCAGACUAGAGUACUGCAGGGGAGACUGGAAUUCCUGGUGUAGCGGUGAAAUGCGCAGAUAUCAGGAGGAACACCGGUGGCGAAGGCGGGUCUCUGGGCCGUAA